UUUAUUUAUGCCCACUUUUCGUAAAUAAUUUUUAUUUGCUAUCAUAAGGAAGGGACUAUCAGGCCAAUACUUUUCACCGCCGAGUGGAUUGAAUUGUCCAAAGUAGGCAUUUUUGUAGCUACGCACAGUGAAUUCUGGUGCCAUAUGCUCCCAUGCUUGAUACCCAAUUUGAUCAAAUCCCUUUAUUGCAUGAGAACAUGGAAUAUGGUAUGAUUGCCAUUUACCACAUUGACAUUUUCCUUGUGAUGCAUUUACAAUAUGCUUAUUACCAUCACGACCAUGAUGCAUAUGUGUUUUCACCUCAAAUAUGUUUUCCCUUUGUUGGUGAUAGUUGAUCAGUGUGUGAUGUUUUGACUUUUUUCGAUUAUCCUAAAAAAUCUUGAAUGGUUUAGGCAUCCAUUGUUG
rnacentral:misc_RNA from 1 species